rnacentral:rRNA from 1 species
GUGGGGAAUCUUGCGCAAUGGGCGAAAGCCUGACGCAGCCAUGCCGCGUGAAUGAUGAAGGUCUUAGGAUUGUAAAAUUCUUUCACCGGGGACGAUAAUGACGGUACCCGGAGAAGAAGCUCCGGCUAACUUCGUGCCAGCAGCCGCGGUAAUACGAAGGGGGCUAGCGUUGCUCGGAAUUACUGGGCGUAAAGGGCGCGUAGGCGGACAGCUUAGUCAGAGGUGAAAGCCCAGGGCUCAACCUUGGAAUUGCCUUUGAUAGUGGCUGUCUUGAGUUUGGGGGAGGUGAGUGGAACCCCGAGUGUAGGGGUGAAAUUCGUAGAUAUUCGGGAGAACACCAGUGGCGAAGGCGACUCACUGGCCCAAUACUGACGCUGAGGCGCGAAAGCGUGGGGAGCAAACAGGAUUAGAAACCCCUGUAGUCC